CCCUACGGAGGCAGCAGUGGGGAAUAUUGCACAAUGGGGGAAACCCUGAACCAGCAACGCCGCGUGAGGGAAGACGGUUUUCGGAUUGUAAACCUCUGUCCUCUGUGAAGAUAAUGACGGUAGCAGAGGAGGAAGCUCCGGCUAACUACGUGCCAGCAGCCGCGGUCAUACGUAGGGAGCAAGCGUUGUCCGGAUUUACUGGGUGUAAAGGGUGCGUAGGCGGGCUUGCAAGUCAGAAGCGAAAUCUAUGUGCUUAACCCAU
rnacentral:rRNA from 1 species